GGUGCUCCAUAUCUAAGGAAGGUUGAUCUCAAACUGUACAGCAAUUAUGCUGAACUAUCAUUGGCUCUGGAGAAGAUGUUUAGCUGCUUCACUAUUGGGCAGUGUGGUACUGAAGGACUUCCGACUAAAGAGCGGCUGAGUGAAAGUAAUUUGAAGGAUUUCCUCCAUGGAUCUGAGUAUGUGCUGACAUGUGAAGAUAAAGAUGGAGAUUGGAUGCUUGUUGGUGAUGUCCCUUGGGAGAUGUUCACUGAUUCGUGUAGAAGACUCCGAAUCAUGAAAGGUUCUGAAGCAAUUGGACUAGCGCCGAGGGCCUUAGAGAAGUGCAAGAACCGAAACUAGCGAGAUGAAGUCCCAAGCAAGACCUAGAAGACGACAUCUCCUGGGAUUGUGAAAAAACCUCAUUUUAAAAGAUAUAUUAUUGUUCGUUAUGUUAUAAACUAAUGUUGUAUCGUAUGAAAUGCUAACGCUUUCCUGCUUGGUAGAUAAAAGAAUUUCACUGAAAGACACCGAGUGUUGUGUGUUUAAAUGUUAAUUGCUAUUCCUCCCUCUUAAAGUAAAGAGUGAAAC
rnacentral:misc_RNA from 1 species